rnacentral:piRNA from 1 species
GGGAAGCUUUGAGGGAAGUAAGAAAAGG